rnacentral:rRNA from 1 species
UACGUAGGGACCAAGCGUUGUCCGGAAUCAUUGGGCGUAAAGCGCACGUAGGCGGUCUGUUAAGUCGGAUGUGAAAGCCCCGGGCUCAACCCGGGAAGUGCAUACGAAACUGGCGGACUUGAAUAUGGAAGAGGGUCGCGGAAUUCCCGGUGUAGAGGUGAAAUUCGUAGAUAUCGGGAGGAACACCAGUGGCGAAGGCGGCGACCUGGGCCAAUAUUGACGCUAAUGUGCGAAAGCGUGGGGAGCAAACAGG